CGACAUUAGACGAAUCAUCUGGAAAGAUGAAUCAAAGAAGGUAAUAAUCCUGUAGUCGAAAAUGUUGUCUCUCUUGAGUGGAUCCUGAGUACGACGGAGCACGUGGAAUUCCGUCGGAAUCUGGGAGGACCAUCUCCUAAGGCUAAAUACUCUCUAGUGACCGAUAGUGAACCAGUACCGUGAGGGAAAGGUGAAAAGCACCCCGGAAGGGGAGUGAAAUAGAACCUGAAACCGUGUGCUUACAAGUAGUCAGAGCCCGUUAAUGGGUGAUGGCGUGCCUUUUGUAGAAUGAACCGGCGAGUUACGAUUUGAUGCAAGGUUAAGCAGUAAAUGUGGAGCCGUAGCGAAAGCGAGUCUGAAUAGGGCGUUUAGUAUUUGGUCGUAGACCCGAAACCAGGUGAUCUACCCUUGGUCAGGUUGAAGUUCAGGUAACACUGAAUGGAGGACCGAACCGACUUACGUUGAAAAGUGAGCGGAUGAACUGAGGGUAGCGGAGAAAUUCCAAUCGAACCUGGAGAUAGCUGGUUCUCUCCGAAAUAGCUUUAGGGCUAGCCUCAAGUGAUGAUUAUUGGAGGUAGAGCACUGUUUGGACGAGGGGCCCCUCUCGGGUUACCGAAUUCAGACAAACUCCGAAUGCCAAUUAAUUUAACUUGGGAGUCAGAACAUGGGUGAUAAGGUCCGUGUUCGAAAGGGAAACAGCCCAGACCACCAGCUAAGGUCCCAAAAUAUAUGUUAAGUGGAAAAGGAUGUGGCGUUGCCCAGACAACUAGGAUGUUGGCUUAGAAGCAGCCAUCAUUUAAAGAGUGCGUAAUAGCUCACUAGUCGAGUGACACUGCGCCGAAAAUGUACCGGGGCUAAACAUAUUACCGAAGCUGUGGAUUGUCCUUUGGACAAUGGUAGGAGAGCGUUCUAAGG
rnacentral:rRNA from 1 species